CCUACGGGUGGCAGCAGUGAGGAAUAUUGGUCAAUGGGCGUAAGCCUGAACCAGCCAAGUCGCGUGAGGGAUGAAGGUUCUAUGGAUUGUAAACCUCUUUUAUAAGGGAAUAAAGUGUGGCACGUGUCCUCUUUUGUAUGUACCUUAUGAAUAAGGAUCGGCUAACUCCGUGCCAGCAGCCGCGGUAAUACGGAGGAUCCGAGCGUUAUCCGGAUUUAUUGGGUUUAAAGGGUGCGUAGGCGGGCUUUUAAGUCAGCGGUGAAAGUCUGUGGCUCAACCGUAGAAUUGCCGUUGAAACUGGGGGGCUUGAGUAUGUUUGAGGCAGGCGGAAUGCGUGGUGUAGCGGUGAAAUGCUUAGAUAUCACGAAGAACUCCGAUUGCGAAGGCAGCUUACUAAACUGCCACUGACAUUGAUGCUCGAAAGUGUGGGUAUCAAACAGGAUUAGAUACCCGAGUAGUC
rnacentral:rRNA from 1 species